rnacentral:lncRNA from 1 species
GGACCCAGAGGGAGCGGAGCACGCGCCUUUGGGAAUCUUCGGUGCGCCAAGUCUGUUCGCCGCCGGGGUCUAUCACCCCCGCCCCUCGCCUCUGCCCGUGAGCGUCAGCUGGCUUGGCUUUUUCAGAGGAAACAGAGACUCUCAGACAUGAAUACUGUGACACUGACCACCAGGCCAACUUAACAUCAGCAGAUAUCCUGUCUCAGAUGAAGAGUGGAGUCUCGCACUGUCGCCCCAGUUGGAGUGUAAUGGUGCGAUCUCGGCUCACUGCAAGCUCCGCCUCCCGGGUUCAUGCCAUUCUCCUGCCUCAGCCUCCUGAGUAGCUGGAACUACAGGAAUGGCCUGUCCAGAAGACAGCCAAAUACAUCCUUCAAACAGACUUCACUGCAGGAGACAGAGUGGAUUCAUCCUGUAUUCUCCAUGUAGACUUCCAUCUUCAUGAGUACUCCAAGAAGAUGGUUCAGUUGACUAUUGCAAAGUCUCAGGUAUGUCUUUAUCAGCAGCAUGAAAAUGGACUAAUAGUACCAGUAGAGUGGGGCAUUGCUGAAAAGAUACCCGAAAAUGUGGAAGCAACUUUGGAACUGGGUGUUGAAAUAAUCUGGAGGGCUCAGAAGAAGAUAGGAAAAUGUAGGAAAGUUUGGAACCUCCUAGAGACUGUGAAUGGCAUUGACAAAAAUACUGAUAGUGAUAUGAACAAUAAGGUCCAGGCUGAGGUGGUCUCAGAUGGAGAUGAAGACCUUGUUGGG